ACGAACGCUGGCGGCGUGCUUAACACCUGCAAGUCGAACGCUGAAGCUUGGUGCUUGCACUGGGUGGAUGAGUGGCGAACGGGUGAGUAAUACGUGAGUAACCUGCCCUUGACUCUGGGAUAAGCCUGGGAAACUGGGUCUAAUACUGGAUACGACAUGCCACUGCAUGGUGGUGUGUGGAAAGGGUUUUACUGGUUUUGGAUGGGCUCACGGCCUAUCAGCUUGUUGGUGGGGUAAUGGCCUACCAAGGCGACGACGGGUAGCCGGCCUGAGAGGGUGACCGGCCACACUGGGACUGAGACACGGCCCAGACUCCUACGGGAGGCAGCAGUGGGGAAUAUUGCACAAUGGGCGGAAGCCUGAUGCAGCGACGCCGCGUGAGGGAUGACGGCCUUCGGGUUGUAAACCUCUUUCAGCACGGAAGAAGCGAGAGUGACGGUACGUGCAGAAGAAGCGCCGGCUAACUACGUG
rnacentral:rRNA from 1 species